AUUGAACGCUGGCGGCAGGCCUAACACAUGCAAGUCGAACGAGGGGCGGACGGGAGAGUAAUGUCUGGGAAACUGCCUGUUGGAGGGGGAUAACUACUGGAAACGGUUGCUAAUACCGCAUACCAUCGGAUGUGCCCAGAUGGGAUUGGCUAAUAGGUGGGGUAAAGGCUCACCUAGGCGACGCUCCCUAGCUGGUCGGAGAGGAUGACCAGCCACACUAGGACUGAGACACGGUACGGACUCAUACGGAAGGCAGCAGUGGGGAAUAUUGCACAAUGGGCGCAAGCCGGAUGCAGCCAUGCCGCGUGUAUGAAGAAGACCUUCGGGUUGUAAAGUACUUUCAGCGGGGAGGCGUUACCCGCAGAAGAAGCACCGGCUAACUCCGUGCCAGCAGCCGCGGUAAUUC
rnacentral:rRNA from 1 species